GCGGACGUGGCCGAGUGGUUGAUGGCAGCGGUUUGCUAAACCGUCAGAUGUAACAGUCUCGCAGGUUCGAAACCUGCCGUUCGCG
rnacentral:tRNA from 1 species